GUAGUCAUAUGCUUGUCUCAAAGAUUAAGCCAUGCAUGUCUAAGUAUAAGCAAUCUAUACUGUGAAACUGCGAAUGGCUCAUUAAAUCAGUUAUCGUUUAUUUGAUAGUACCUUACUACUUGGAUAACCGUGGUAAUUCUAGAGCUAAUACAUGCUAAAAACCCCGACUUUUGGAGGGGUGUAUUUAUUAGAUAAAAAACCAAUGCCCUUCGGGCUCCUUGGUGAUUCAUAAUAACUUAACGAAUCGCAUGGCCUUGUGCCGGCGAUGGUUCAUUCAAAUUUCUGCCCUAUCAACUUUCGAUGGUAGGAUAGUGGCCUACCAUGGUUUCAACGGGUAACGGGGAAU
rnacentral:rRNA from 1 species